AAUGUAUUCCUGAUUGAUUUAGAUUAGCAGGAGUAGACUGCGAACCAGGAGGCAAAUUAGGAUGCACAGAGGAUAGUAACGGUCUCGAAUAGGGAGAAGGUUGAGACUGCGAGGAGUAAAUGGAUUGAGAAUUAGAUGGAGUAUAUGUUAAAGUACUGUUGGUGUCGGGAAAUGGUGGAAGAGCUACUUGAUCCGGAGCGGUAGGAU